UACAGAGGUGGCAAGCGUUGUUCGGAAUUACUGGGCGUAAAGGGCGCGUAGGCGGCCACGACAAGUCACUUGUGAAAUCUCCGGGCUUAACUCGGAACGGUCAAGUGAUACUGUCGGGCUAGAGUGCAGAAGGGGCAACUGGAAUUCUCGGUGUAGCGGUGAAAUGCGUAGAUAUCGAGAGGAACACCUGCGGCGAAGGCGGGUUGCUGGGCUGACACUGACGCUGAGGCGCGAAAGCCAGGGGAGCAAACGGG
rnacentral:rRNA from 1 species